CACCGGCGGCUCGAGUGGUAACCGCUUUUAUUGGGUCUAAAGGGUCUGUAGCCGGCUUGGUUAGUCUCUUGAGAAAUCUGGCCGCCCAACGGUCAGGCGUUCAGGGGAUACUGCUAAAGCUCGAGACCGGGAGAGGUGAGAGGUACUUCAGGGGUAGGGGUGAAAUCUUGUAAUCCUUGAAGGACCACCAGUGGCGAAGGCGUCUCACCAGAACGGAUCUGACGGCAAGGGACGAAAGCUAGGGG
rnacentral:rRNA from 1 species